GAUGAACGCUGGCGGCGUGCCUAAUACAUGCAAGUCGAGCGAACGGACGAGAAGCUUGCUUCUCUGAUGUUAGCGGCGGACGGGUGAGUAACACGUGGAUAACCUACCUAUAAGACUGGGAUAACUUCGGGAAACCGGAGCUAAUACCGGAUAAUAUUUUGAACCGCAUGGUUCAAAAGUGAAAGACGGUCUUGCUGUCACUUAUAGAUGGAUCCGCGCUGCAUUAGCUAGUUGGUAAGGUAACGGCUUACCAAGGCAACGAUGCAUAGCAGACCUGAGAGGGUGAUCGGCGACACUGGAGCUGAGAGACGGUCCAGACUCCUACGGGAGGCAGCAGUAGGGAAUCUUCCGCAAUGGGCGAAAGCCUGACGGAGCAACGCCGCGUGAGUGAUGAAGGUCUUCGGAUCGUAAAACUCUGUUAUUAGGGAAGAACAUAUGUGUAAGUAACUGUGCACAUCUUGACGGUACCUAAUCAGAAAGCCACGGCUAACUACGUG
rnacentral:rRNA from 1 species